ensembl:lncRNA
GGUUAUUGAGCCUGCUCAGAGACGUUGAUGCCGCUCUGUAUCUCUGCACAGCUUUCACUGGAAGUGCAGGACAGAGUAAAGCUCAAAGCACCAACAGGCUGGAGCCACAGAGGAUUGUGGGUACUGUAGUCUUGCAGGUCAACGUUUGUGUCGUAAUGAAGAAGCAUACAGGGGAUUGGAGGGCAGUGAAAGGCAGCAGCUGUGUUCUUCAUCGUGGGGGGGGGGCGUUGGGGGGUAUUUCCUGGGGCAGUUUCUGUGUGUGGCUGCAGCUCGAGGCUCUGCAGCCGUUUUCGGUGCGCGGUCUUAUUGUUGACUCUCAGUCUGAAGGUCACGGCGUGAUGCCGCCGGUCAGUGCACUGAAACUCAGCUGACCACCUCCGACCGGCCACUGUGAUUGGCUGAGCCGGCCAUGUUACACAGUUACACAGAGGAAGAGGCUGCAGGUGUUUGGGCUUCGCCACAGACGCAGAAGGAAAGGAGCAGACAGCUGAGCUCCACCUGACCUCUGACCUCUCCAGGACCAUGCCGUCACCUGUCAGCUCAUCUCAGUCUGACCCAUCGGGACUCAAACGCCUCUGUUUGUGGCUCCAUCGCUGCUCCUCCCCUCCUCUCCCUCUCCCCGUCAGCUGCGGCGACUCCUGCCCUCCGUCAGCAUCGCGCCGUCUCCCCCUGCUGGUGGCCCUGCUGCUCUGCGGCCUGCUGCUGAUGGUGCUGCUGCUGCUGUGGAACUACCACUGUGUGUUCAUCUCACACCUCUGCUCCCCCCUGGGGGAGGAAGGGGGGGAGAUGGGCUCGUGACCUCUGACCGGUCUGGUCCAGUCCUGCUGUGCCAAGUCAGCACUGUGUCAUUGAUGAUGAUGAUGAUGAUGACGGCUCGGGACGGUUUUCAGUUUUAAUAAAAAUGUAACAAUCAAAAUAAAAAAUCUUAAACGUGCUGACGUCAAAGGUUCCUUCUCUGAAUCUCGCAAACCGCCUUUUCUGUUCAUAUGAAGGGGCGUGGCCUUUACACGAUGGAACAUGAUGAAUGGUGUAGCAGCCACCAGGGGGCGAUCCAAAUACGUCUCCCAUUCAUGAGCGGUGUUUUUACUGAUGUGCAUCUGAAGCCAGCGCGUACUUCCUGUUUCUGUGGCGGGCGUUCAUGUUAAAAACGUUAGUAAUGAUGAGGUCGUCAGAUCACUGUGCACUGCAUAGAAGGGGGAUUCAAAGUUCCUGUUCAGGAUGGGCAGCCAAUCAGAAUAACGUUGCUCUGAAUGAGGGAGGAGCUAAAAAACUUGCUUUAGCAGCUGCUGCAUGAAGAGAAGUAAAAACUCCUCCAUGCUGGUUUUCAGGACUGAUCACGUCCCGCAGUUGAAACACGCACACCUGCUCAGCAGGGCGCCACGCCCAAAACCUGCACCACCGCCGCUGCUUUAUUUCCUGAGUCGCUUUGGUGCUGCUGAGGAGACAAACCAACACGUUUACUCAGGAACUGCUGCUGAAUGACACCUGAAUCACAUUCACCCCCACUGCGACCUCUGAGGCCCC